GCCCGCGUAGCUCAGUUGGAAGAGCAUUGGGCUAGUAUUCCAAAGGUCGUAGGUUCGAAUCCCACCGUGGCCG